GAUGAAGAACGUAGCGAAAUGCGAUAAGUAGUGUGAAUUGCAGAAUUCAGUGAAUCAUCGAAUCUUUGAACGCACAUUGCGCCCCUUGGUAUUCCAUGGGGCAUGCCUGUUCGAGCGUCAUUUGUACCUUCAAGCUUUGCUUGGUGUUGGGUGUUUGUCUCGCCUUUGCGUGUAGACUCGCCUCAAAACAAUUGGCAGCCGGCGUACUUGUUUCGGAGCGCAGCACAUUUUGCGAUCCAGAUCAACGUACAGCGGCAUCCAAGAAGCCUUAUUUAACGCUCUUGACCUCGGAUCAGGUAGGGAUACCCGCUGAACUUAAGCAUAUCAAUAAGCGGAGGA
rnacentral:misc_RNA from 1 species